GCCCGGAUGGUGGAAUGGUAGACACGCAGGACUUAAAAUCCUGUGACUUCACGGUUGUGCGGGUUCAAGUCCCGCUCCGGGUA
rnacentral:tRNA from 1 species